rnacentral:rRNA from 1 species
ACUCCUACGGGAGGCAGCAGUGAGGAAUCUUCCACAAUGGGCGAAAGCCUGAUGGAGCAACGCCGCGUGCAGGAUGAAGGCCUUCGGGUUGUAAACUGCUUUUAUAAGUGAGGAUUAUGACAGUAACUUAUGAAUAAGGAUCGGCUAACUACGUGCCAGCAGCCGCGGUCAUACGUAGGAUCCGAGCGUUAUCCGGAGUGACUGGGCGUAAAGAGUUGCGUAGGUGGUUCAAUAAGCGAAUAGUGAAAGCUGGUGGCUCAACCAUUCAGAUUAUUAUUCGAACUGUUGAACUCGAGAGCAGAAGAGGUAGCUGGAAUUUCUAGUGUAGGAGUGAAAUCCGUAGAUAUUAGAAGGAACACCGAUGGCGUAGGCAGGCUACUGGGCUGUUUCUGACACUGAGGCACGAAAGCGUGGGGAGCGAACCGGAUUAGAAACCCCGGUAGUCCAGAAGUG